UAUUUUGUCGCGGACUGAGAAAUAAAUGAAUGUAUGAAAAUGUACAAUGACGCUCUCACUUGUAUGAUGUCACAGCAGUAGGCAGCACAAAUAUAUAACGACAUGCCUAAAAUCCCUCCCACUCUGAAGUGUUACUAAACUCGAUGGAAAAGCUAACCAAGCCAAAGUGAGAUGAGCUGACCCGACCUAACAAAAACCAAACCGUGGGGGACUAUACAAUGGAAAAGCACCCGUGAAGCCCUCCAUUACCAUUAUUUAUCAAAAUAUCUCAGUUUGUGUUCAACAGAAUAAAGAAACUCAUACAGGUUUACAACAACAUAACGUGAGUAAAUAUUACAGAAUUUUUAUUUUUGCGUGAACUAUCCCUUUAAUUCACAACAAGUGUUCAUUUGUGAAUAAAAUUAAGGCCUGCAGUGCAGGGGCAAGGUUGUCUGUGAUUAACAUAUUAUUAUUAUUAUUGUAUUCAGUUCUUCACAUGAGGUUACUAUAUCAAUACAGAAGAUUGUCCUGGUCUCUGCAUGUUUGUUGAAUGAAAAGUUACAGCGUGAAAAUUGUUCAGAAUGAUUUCUCUUCGAUUUUUACUAAAACAAGAAGUCAUUCAGUUUUAAUAAGAAGUGAAAGGUGAGUGAAGGAAACAAUUUUCAUUUUUGGGUACAUUCGCUUUCAUAAGUGUGUUUAUAUUGUGCACAUGAACGACCUGUGUGACAAAUUGUAUUUGCAGGUAAAACUGCUCCAGUGUGACCUCAUCAUCAACACAAUCCAGUCGCCAUGGCAACCUUUAUUUUAUGUGCCAUUUCCUUGGAUGAGGUGCUGUGUGUAUUUGUGUCUUGGGACAUAAUCAAUUUCAAACAGCUUUGGGAGCAGCAGUCACAGCGAUGUCUGUUUUCCCAGGUCUAAUAAGAGCCUUAAUAUACCCACACCAUGCAACCCAGACCCUAUCAGCAGUUUUUGGAUGGAACGAUGCAGCUCUUCGCACACAGUUCCUGGAAGGAUUACGAGACGACAUCUAGGAUGAGAUUCUUUGGUGGAGCUUGCACUCAGAAUUGAGAGCCGUAUGGUGUUUCGCCCCCAGCGCCGUUCCCUACUUCAUCAGGUCUUUUCAGAUGAGAUGGUUGGUACUCAUGCACACCCUCCUCCUUCCUCUCCUGCUGUCCCCAGCGAGCCCAUGUAACUGGGCAGGAUGCGACUCACACCUAAGGAGAGAAAGAGGAGAUUAGUGAAUGGUCUAUGUCUCUACUGUGGAAAAUCUGGACAUCUGGCUAAGAACUGUCCGUGAAAAGCCAACGCUCACCAGUAGUUCCGGGAGUUCUGGUGGGCACUGCUGUGUGUGAAAUCUCCCCUGCAUCUUCAACUCAUUUACCGGUUACUUUAACUUUUGGUGGUAUUGAACACUCCUCUAAGGCUCUCGGGGCUGAAGGAGAUUUCCUGGACUUCAACACUGCUUGGGAGUGGGGCAUUCCUGCUGUUGCACUCGAAGUACCUCUAGCUGUAUGGACACUUAAGGGAUAGCAGACUGCCCAGGUCACUCACUGCACCCCACACAUAAGUCUUUUUAUUUCAGGCAACACAGUGAGGAGAUUGUGCUGUACCUCUUG